rnacentral:rRNA from 1 species
ACGCGAAGAACCUUACCNCAGGCUUGACAUGCAGAAGACAGCGCUAGAGAUAGCGUCUUCCUUAGGGACUUCUGCACAGGUGCUGCAUGGCUGUCGUCAGCUCGUGCCGUGAGGUGUUGGGUUAAGUCCCGCAACGAGCGCAACCCUUAUCAUUAGUUGCCAACAGGUGAAGCUGGGAACUCUAAUGAGACUGCCUGGGUUAACCAGGAGGAAGGUGAGGAUGACGUCAAGUCCGCAUGGCCCUUAUGUCUGGGGCUACACACGUGCUACAAUGGUCGGUACAGAAGGCAGCGAAACCGCGAGGCGAAGCAAAUCCCCCAAAACCGAUCCCAGUUCAGAUUGUAGUCUGCAACUCGACUACAUGAAGAUGGAAUUGCUAGUAAUGGCGUGUCAGCAACAACGCCGUGAGUACGUUCCCGGGUCUUGUACACACCG